UCAGGUGCCUAUAUCGGUGGUGUCCACCUCUUCCCAUUCCGAACAGAGAAGUUAAGCCCACCAGAGCCGAUGGUACUGCGGUAACACG
rnacentral:rRNA from 2 species